rnacentral:rRNA from 1 species
UACCAUGCAAGUCGAACGGCAGCACGGACUUCGGUCUGGUGGCGAGUGGCGAACGGGUGAGUAAUGUAUCGGAACGUGCCCAGUAGCGGGGGAUAACUACGCGAAAGCGUAGCUAAUACCGCAUACGCCCUACGGGGGAAAGCAGGGGAUCGCAAGACCUUGCACUAUUGGAGCGGCCGAUAUCGGAUUAGCUAGUUGGUGGGGUAACGGCUCACCAAGGCGACGAUCCGUAGCUGGUUUGAGAGGACGACCAGCCACACUGGGACUGAGACACGGCCCAGACUCCUACGGGAGGCAGCAGUGGGGAAUUUUGGACAAUGGGGGAAACCCUGAUCCAGCCAUCCCGCGUGUGCGAUGAAGGCCUUCGGGUUGUAAAGCACUUUUGGCAGGAAAGAAACGUCGUGGGUUAAUACCCCGCGAAACUGACGGUACCUGCAGAAUAAGCACCGGCUAACUACGUGCCAGCAGCCGCGGUAAUACGUAGGGUGCAAGCGUUAAUCGGAAUUACUGGGCGUAAAGCGUGCGCAGGCGGUUCGGAAAGAAAGAUGUGAAAUCCCAGAGCUUAACUUUGGAACUGCAUUUUUAACUACCGAGCUAGAGUGUGUCAGAGGGAGGUGGAAUUCCGCGUGUAGCAGUGAAAUGCGUAAAUAUGCGGAGGAACACCGAUGGCGAAGGCAGCCUCCUGGGAUAACACUGACGCUCAUGCACGAAAGCGUGNGGAGCAAACAGGAUUAGAUACCCUGGUAGUCCACGCCC